AAGGAUCAGGGCUGAUGACGCCGAUUACUACCUCCAGGUUUGGAGUUUUGAGCUUUAGCAGUUUUCUGGUGUGUUGGCGGCUUCUUCGUGACGAUUGGUGAUAGUUAUUUGAUUGUGUCUAUCACUGAAAGAGAAUCAGCAUCCUGGUGAUCCUUCCAUUAGGAAAAUGACUACGCGGUCAAUAACACCAAAAAAAUGUCAACAAAUUGUCAUCACAUAUAAUAUGCAAGUUAAGUUUACAUAGAAUCUUGAUAAUAAUCAUGUUGAGUGCAGCAGUUUCAAUUAUUUUGUGUUUAUUUCUUAUUUAGAUUUUGAAUUAAACUGAAUAAGAACCAUCUGGUUAUUCUUCCAAGGAAAAGGCAAACACCACCAUCACAGUCAACAAGUUUGUUAACCCAAUGACUGCCACUGGGUAGCAGUUACCCUUGAAUAGCUCUAGUUCCUUGGAAUGGGUCCACACUUAUUUUGAGUUUAACCUGCGCCGCUAAUCCAUUGACUGAAUCCAUUGGGGGUAUUAACUGACGAGAGAUAAAAGACAACUGACUAACUAACGUGAUGUCAUUCACCAAUACUGUGCGUGCCAUCCUUCCGUCGCCCCAAGGCAUGGGGGAAUUGUACCUGUUCCAGCUACGCUGCCAGCAUAAUUUCACUACCCAACUGACGGCCUGGUGGGUCAACUUACCAAUCACUGACUCCUACUACCCCUGCUCUCAAGUCUCAACGGACCAAAGGACGACCAUGUUGUUCUAAACUACAGGAACUUUCUAAAUUUGCAUGGCAGACUUUAUGAGAAGGUAUGUCCUUUGAAGAAAAAGGGCAAUGGCUGCUGUCAACAAGGUCCCUUAUUGUUUGGUAACCCAUUGGCUGCUACCCUUGAAUCUCCCUAUUUACUUCCUUCUUGAUUUGAGGGCAAAACCUUCACUACUUAUCGUGGACUCCAUCCAUUGGUGGAAACUGAUGAGAGAAUGCUGUAAUUCAAGAGGAUACUGAUAAAUUGUGUAGUUGUUGGAUGCUUUACCAGUGCAUAUCUGGGCUCCCUUCUUUUCUGUGGCCC